rnacentral:rRNA from 1 species
UACGAAGGGGGCUAGCGUUGCUCGGAAUCACUGGGCGUAAAGGGCGCGUAGGCGGAUCUUUAAGUCGGGGGUGAAAGCCCAGGGCUCAACCCUGGAAUGGCCUUCGAUACUGGAGAUCUUGAGACCGGAAGAGGUAAGUGGAACUGCGAGUGUAGAGGUGAAAUUCGUAGAUAUUCGCAAGAACACCAGUGGCGAAGGCGGCUCACUGGCCCGGUACUGACGCUGAGGUGCGAAAGCGUGGGGAGCAAACAGG